rnacentral:rRNA from 1 species
GACGAACGCUGGCUGCGUGCUUAACACAUGCAAGUCGAACGGAAAGGCCCUGCUUUUGUGGGGUGCUCGAGUGGCGAACGGGUGAGUAACACGUGAGUAACCUGCCCUUGACUUUGGGAUAACUUCAGGAAACUGGGGCUAAUACCGGAUAGGAGCUCCUGCUGCAUGGUGGGGGUUGGAAAGUUUCGGCGGUUGGGGAUGGACUCGCGGCUUAUCAGCUUGUUGGUGGGGUAGUGGCUUACCAAGGCUUUGACGGGUAGCCGGCCUGAGAGGGUGACCGGCCACAUUGGGACUGAGAUACGGCCCAGACUCCUACGGGAGGCAGCAGUGGGGAAUAUUGCACAAUGGGCGGAAGCCUGAUGCAGCAACGCCGCGUGCGGGAUGACGGCCUUCGGGUUGUAAACCGCUUUCGCCCGUGACGAAGCGUGAGUGACGGUAAUGGGUAAAGAAGCACCGGCUAACUACGUGCCAGCAGCCGCGGUGAUACGUAGGGUGCGAGCGUUGUCCGGAUUUAUUGGGCGUAAAGGGCUCGUAGGUGGUUGAUCGCGUCGGAAGUGUAAUCUUGGGGCUUAACCCUGAGCGUGCUUUCGAUACGGGUUGACUUGAGGAAGGUAGGGGAGAAUGGAAUUCCUGGUGGAGCGGUGGAAUGCGCAGAUAUCAGGAGGAACACCAGUGGCGAAGGCGGUUCUCUGGGCCUUUCCUGACGCUGAGGAGCGAAAGCGUGGGGAGCGAACAGGCUUAGAUACCCUGGUAGUCCACGCUGUAAACGGUGGGUACUAGGUGUGGGGUCCAUUCCACGGGUUCCGUGCCGUAGCUAACGCUUUAAGUACCCCGCCUGGGGAGUACGGCCGCAAGGCUAAAACUCAAAGGAAUUGACGGGACCCCGCACAAGCGGCGGAGCAUGCGGAUUAAUUCGAUGCAACGCGUAGAACCUUACCUGGGUUUGACAUGGAUCGGGAGUGCUCAGAGAUGGGUGUGCCUCUUUUGGGGUCGGUUCACAGGUGGUGCAUGGCUGUCGUCAGCUCGUGUCGUGAGAUGUUGGGUUAAGUCCCGCAACGAGCGCAACCCUUGUUCACUGUUGCCAGCACGUUAUGGUGGGGACUCAGUGGAGACCGCCGGGGUCAACUCGGAGGAAGGUGGGGAUGACGUCAAGUCAUCAUGCCCCUUAUGUCCAGGGCUUCACGCAUGCUACAAUGGCUGGUACAGAGAGUGGCGAGCCUGUGAGGGUGAGCGAAUCUCGGAAAGCCGGUCUCAGUUCGGAUUGGGGUCUGCAACUCGACCUCAUGAAGUCGGAGUCGCUAGUAAUCGCAGAUCAGCAACGCUGCGGUGAAUACGUUCCCGGGGCU